CUCUGGCUCAGUCACAUGUUCACUAAAAUUGGAACGAUACAGGGAAGAUGUGCGUGUCCCCUGCGCCAGCAGGACACACGAAUUUGUUAAUUGUUUUACAGUUUU